rnacentral:rRNA from 1 species
GACGAACGCUGGCGGCGUGCUUAACACAUGCAAGUCGAACGGAAAGGCCCUGCUUUUGUGGGGUGCUCGAGUGGCGAACGGGUGAGUAACACGUGAGUAACCUGCCCUUGACUUUGGGAUAACUUCAGGAAACUGGGGCUAAUACCGGAUAGGAGCUCCUGCUGCAUGGUGGGGGUUGGAAAGUUUCGGCGGUUGGGGAUGGACUCGCGGCUUAUCCGCUUGUUGGUGGGGUAGUGGCUUACCAAGCCUUUGACGGGUAGCCGGCAUGAGAGGGUGACCGGCCACAUGGGGACUGAGAUACGGACCAGACUCCUACGGGAGGCAGCAGUGGGGAAUAUUACACAAUGGGCGGAAGCCUGAUGCAGCAACGCCGCGUGCGGGAUGACGGCCUUCGGGGUGUAAACCGCUUUCGCCUGUGACGAAGCGUGAGUGACGGUAAUGGGUAAAGAAGCACCGGCUAACUACGUG